rnacentral:ncRNA from 1 species
GCAAUGGCCAAGAUGAGGAAUAGUAGUUCGACAAGCUUUUCAGAGAGCCGACGGGUGGUGCGAGUCGGUAAGUUUUGGAUCGAAUGAACUCGCCUCGGAGCUGCAGCAGGGAAUCGCAUGAUGCGAAGUAUUUGUUGCCGUUUCGUCCGCGUUACAGGACGUUAAUGAGAGUGCCCUACACGUUGUUACGGCGAGGGUGCUGAAUUAGGGUGGUACCACGGGAAUGUUAAUCCUAACCUCUCGUCCCUAGC